AUUGAACGCUGGCGGAAUGCUUUACACAUGCAAGUCGAACGGCAGCACGGACUUCGGUCUGGUGGCGAGUGGCGAACGGGUGAGUAAUAUAUCGGAACGUAUCCAAUAACGGGGGAUAACUAGUCGAAAGAUUGGCUAAUACCGCAUACGCCCUACGGGGGAAAGCAGGGGAUCUUCGGACCUUGCGUUAAUGGAGCGGCCGAUAUCUGAUUAGCUAGUUGGUGGGGUAAAGGCCCACCAAGGCGACGAUCAGUAGCUGGUCUGAGAGGACGACCAGCCACACUGGAACUGAGACACGGUCCAGACUCCUACGGGAGGCAGCAGUGGGGAAUUUUGGACAAUGGGCGCAAGCCUGAUCCAGCCAUUCCGCGUGAGUGAAGAAGGCCUUCGGGUUGUAAAGCUCUUUCGCAAGGGAAGAAAACUUAGCCACUAACAUUGGCUGAGGUUGACGGUACCUUGAUAAGAAGCACCGGCUAACUACGUGCCAGCAGCCGCCGUAACAC
rnacentral:rRNA from 1 species